rnacentral:rRNA from 1 species
CCUACGGGAGGCAGCAGUGGGGAAUAUUGGACAAUGGGCGAAAGCCUGAUCCAGCAAUGCCGCGUGAGUGAUGAAGGCCUUAGGGUUGUAAAGCUCUUUUACCAGGGAUGAUAAUGACAGUACCUGGAGAAUAAGCUCCGGCUAACUCCGUGCCAGCAGCCGCGGUAAUACGGAGGGAGCUAGCGUUGUUCGGAAUUACUGGGCGUAAAGCGUGCGUAGGCGGUGAUUCAAGUCAGAGGUGAAAGCCUGGAGCUCAACUCCAGAACGGCCUUUGAAACUAGAUCGCUAGAAUUAUGGAGAGGUAAGUGGAAUUCCGAGUGUAGAGGUGAAAUUCGUAGAUAUUCGGAAGAACACCAGUGGCGAAGGCGACUUACUGGACAUAUAUUGACGCUGAGGUACGAAAGCGUGGGGAGCAAACAGGAUUAGAUACCCUGGUAGUCCACGCCGUAAACGAUGAUAACUAGCUGUUCGGGCUCUCAGAGCUUGAGUGGCGCAGCUAACGCAUUAAGUUAUCCGCCUGGGGAGUACGGUCGCAAGAUUAAAACUCAAAUGAAUUGACGG